CGUGUGGUGGUCAGAUUACGGGUGUUCUCAAGAGCAUUUUAGUAGAACUGAUUAGCGACGCGGCCUAACUGAGGU
rfam:Vibrio sp. qd031 contig_5, whole genome shotgun sequence.